rnacentral:rRNA from 1 species
UACAGAGGGUGCGAGCGUUAAUCGGAAUUACUGGGCGUAAAGCGUGCGUAGACGGUUAUUUAAGUCAGAUGUGAAAGCCCCGGGCUCAACCUGGGAAUUGCAUUUGAGACUGAAUAGCUAGGGUACGGUAGAGGGAAGCGGAAUUUCCGGUGUAGCGGUGAAAUGCGUAGAUAUCGGAAGGAACAUCAGUGGCGAAAGCGGCUUCCUGGACCAGUACCGACGUCAGGCACGAAAGCGUGGGGAGCAAACAGGA